GUUGGUGAACCAGCGGAAGGAUCAUUACC
rnacentral:rRNA from 1 species